UUUGUUGUUCGGAGUUUGCUCUCCUAGGUGAAUUGCCUACCACGGCUAACGAGCUCCACCUGCCCGGGUUUGUUGUUCGGAGUUUGCUCUCCUAGGCAGACUGCCUACCACGGCUAACGAGCUCCACCUGCCCGGGUUUGUUGUUCGGAGUUUGCUCUCCUAGGCAGACUGCCUACCACGGCUGACGAGCUCCACCUGUCCGGGUUUAUUGUUCGGAGUUUGCUCUCCUAGGCAGACUGCCUACCACGGCUAACGAGCUCCACCUGCCCGGGUUUGUUGUUCGGAGUUUGCUCUCCUAGGCAGACUGCCUACCACGGCUAACGAGCUCCACCUGCCCGGGUUUGUUGUUCGGAGUUUGCUCUCCUAGGCAGACUGCCUACCACGGCUGACGAGCUCCACCUGUCCGGGUUUAUUGUUCGGAGUUUGCUCUCCUAGGCAGACUGCCUACCACGGCUGACGAGCUCCACCUGCCCGGGUUUGUUGUUCGGAGUUUGCUCUUGUCGGUGAAUUGCCUACCACGGCUAACCAGCCGCACCUGCCAUGGCUUGUAGCCAGCAGAUCUCAGGCACCUCCGUGGAGGACCCGGGGGACGCCAAGGCGCCCUGCCGGGGUCCCUCCAUUCCUGCCAUGCUCGCCAGGGAAACCUUGGGCUUGCUGGCGCCUCGCAGCCCCGCCGAGGCGAGGAGGGAAGAUGCAGGAUCUCGCUUAA